CCUACGGGUGACAGCAGUGAGGAAUAUUGGUCAAUGGACGAGAGUCUGAACCAGCCAAGUAGCGUGAAGGAUGACUGCUCUAUGGGUUGUAAACUUCUUUUAUAUGGGAAUAAAAUGUUCCACGUGUGGGAUUUUGUAUGUACCAUAUGAAUAAUGAUCGGCUAACUCCGUUCCAGCCGCCGCGGUAAUACGUAGGAUCCGAGCGUUAUCCGGAUUUAUUGGGUUGAAAGUGAGCGUAGGUGGAUUGUUAAGUCAGUUGUGAAAGUUUGCGGCUCAACCGUAGAAUUGCAGUUGAAACUGGCAGUCUAGAGUACAGUAGAGGUGAGCGGAAUGCGUGGUGUAGCGGUGAAAUGCUUAGAUAUCACGAAGAACUCCGAUUGAGAAGGCAGCUCACUGGACUGCAACUGACACUGAGGCUCGAAAGUGUGGGUAUCAAAAAGGAUUAGAUACCCGUGUAGUC
rnacentral:rRNA from 1 species